rnacentral:rRNA from 1 species
CAUAGGAACUUCCGCAUGGACGAAAGUCUGACGGAGCAACGCCGCGUGAGUGAUGAAGGUUUUCGGAUCGUAAAACUCUGUUGUUAGGGAAGAACAAGUACCGUUCGAAUAGGGCGGUACCUUGACGGUACCUAACCAGAAAGCCACGGCUAACUACGUGCCAGCAGCCGCGGUAAUACGUAGGUGGCAAGCGUUGUCCGGAAUUAUUGGGCGUAAAGCGCGCGCAGGCGGUCUUUUAAGUCUGAUGUGAAAGCCCCCGGCUCAACCGGGGAGGGUCAUUGGAAACUGGGAGACUUGAGUGCAGAAGAGGAGAGUGGAAUUCCACGUGUAGCGGUGAAAUGCGUAGAGAUGUGGAGGAACACCAGUGGCGAAGGCGACUCUCUGGUCUGUAACUGACGCUGAGGCGCGAAAGCGUGGGGAGCGAACAGGAUUAGAUACCCUGGUAGUCCACGCCGUAAACGAUGAGUGCUAAGUGUUAGAGGGUUUCCGCCCUUUAGUGCUGCAGCAANCGCAUUAAGCACUCCNCCUGGGGAGUACGGCC